GGCAGCAUGGUCUUAGCUUGCUAAGGCUGAUGGCGACCGGCGCACGGGUGAGUAACACGUAUCCAACCUGCCGUCUACUCUUGGCCAGCCUUCUGAAAGGAAGAUUAAUCCAGGAUGGCAUCAUGAGUUCACAUGUCCGCAUGAUUAAAGGUAUUUUCCGGUAGACGAUGGGGAUGCGUUCCAUUAGAUAGUAGGCGGGGUAACGGCCCACCUAGUCAACGAUGGAUAGGGGUUCUGAGAGGAAGGUCCCCCACAUUGGAACUGAGACACGGUCCAAACUCCUACGGGAGGCAGCAGUGAGGAAUAUUGGUCAAUGGGCGAUGGCCUGAACCAGCCAAGUAGCGUGAAGGAUGACUGCCCUAUGGGUUGUAAACUUCUUUUAUAAAGGAAUAAAGUCGGGUAUGCAUACCCGUUUGCAUGUACUUUAUGAAUAAGGAUCGGCUAACUCCGUGCCAGCAGCCGCGGUAAUACGGAGGAUCCGAGCGUUAUCCGGAUUUAUUGGGUUUAAAGGGAGCGUAGAUGGAUGUUUAAGUCAGUUGUGAAAGUUUGCGGCUCAACCGUAAAAUUGCAGUUGAUACUGGAUGUCUUGAGUGCAGUUGAGGCAGGCGGAAUUCGUGGUGUAGCGGUGAAAUGCUUAGAUAUCACGAAGAACUCCGAUUGCGAAGGCAGCCUGCUA
rnacentral:rRNA from 1 species